CCCGUAGAGUUUGAUUGGGGGGAUUAGUGGCGAACGGGUGAGUAACACGUGAGUAACCUGCCCUGGACUCUGGGAUAACCCCGAGAAAUCGGAGCUAAUACCGGAUAGGACCUUGGACCGCAUGGUUUGGGGUGGAAAGUUUUUUCGGUCUGGGAUGGACUCGCGGCCUAUCAGCUUGUUGGUGAGGUAAUGGCUCACCAAGGCGUCGACGGGUAGCCGGCCUGAGAGGGUGACCGGCCACACUGGGACUGAGACACGGCCCAGACUCCUACGGGAGGCAGCAGUGGGGAAUAUUGCACAAUGGGCGCAAGCCUGAUGCAGCAACGCCGCGUGAGGGAUGACGGCCUUCGGGUUGUAAACCUCUUUUAGUAAGGAAGAAGGGAAGCUUGCUUCUUGACGGUACUUGCAGAAAAAGCACCGGCUAACUACGUGCCAGCAGCCGCGGUAAUACGUAGGGUGCGAGCGUUGUCCGGAAUUAUUGGGCGUAAAGAGCUCGUAGGCGGUUUGUCACGUCUGCUGUGAAAUCCCGAGGCUCAACCUCGGGUCUGCAGUGGGUACGGGCAGACUGGAGUGCGGUAGGGGAGAAUGGAAUUCCUGGUGUAGCGGUGGAAUGCGCAGAUAUCAGGAGGAACACCGAUGGCGAAGGCAGUUCUCUGGGCCGUAACUGACGCUGAGGAGCGAAAGCGUGGGGAGCGAACAGGAUUAGAUACCCUGGUAGUCCACGCCGUAAACGUUGGGCGCUAGAUGUGGGGACCUUUCCACGGUUUCCGUGUCGUAGCUAACGCAUUAAGCGCCCCGCCUGGGGAGUACGGCCGCAAGGCUAAAACUCAAAGGAAUUGACGGGGGCCCGCACAAGCGGCGGAGCAUGCGGAUUAAUUCGAUGCAACGCGAAGAACCUUACCAAGGCUUGACAUAACCGAGAACGCCGCAGAAAUGUGGAACUCUUUGGACACUCGGUUACAGGUGGUGCAUGGUUGUCGUCAGCUCGUGUCGUGAGAUGUUGGGUUAAGUCCCGCAACGAGCGCAACCUUCGUCGUAUGUUGCCAGCACGUAAUGGUGGGGAACUCAUAUGAAGACUGCCGGGGGUCAACUCGGAAGGAAGGUGGGGGAUGACGUCAAAUCAUCAUGCCCCUUAUGUCUUGGGCUUCACGCAUGCUACAAUGGGCCGGUACAAAAGGCUUGCGAUGUCUUAAGGGCGGACCGAAUCCCAAAAAGCCC
rnacentral:rRNA from 1 species